UUGCCACCUGGUCAGCACUCGACAGACUGUUCCCAGUUGAAUGAAAUCACAAGAAAUCAGGCUUCAGAGGCCAGCCAGCUGAGGGUGACAGUGCAUCUGAGGAAAAAAGUGGGUCAGCUGAGCCAUUUUUAUCACCAGCCUCUUCUGUGGAAAGUACAUUACCAGUGCUUGAGGCAUCCAGUAAGAUGCAGGUGUCUCAUGACUUCUUGGAGACCAGGUUUAAAAUCCAGCAGCUUUUGAAGCCUCAGCAGUACAUGGCUUUUCUGCCCCACCACAUUAUGGUAAAAAUCUUCAGGUUACUUCCCACCAAGAGUUUAGUGGCCCUUAAAUGUACCUGCUGCUGUUUCAAGUUUAUCAUUGAGUACUACAAUAUCAGGCCAGCAGAUUCUCGCUGGGUUCGAGAUCCACGCUAUAGAGAGGAUCCUUGCAAGCAGUGCAAGAAAAAGUAUGUGAAAGGGGAUGUGUCCCUGUGCCAAUGGCAUAUCAAGCCCUAUUGCCAGGCAUUGCCCUAUGGGCCAGGGUAUUGGAUGUGCUGCCACCGGUCUCAGAAAGGAUUCCCUGGCUGUAAGCUGGGGCUUCAUGACAAUCACUGGGUUCCUGCCUGCCACAGCUUUAAUUGGGCAAUCCAUAAGAAAGCAAAAGGGACUGAAGCUGAAGAGGAAUACUAAAGUCCACGUGAGAGGCAACAAAAGGACCAAUUUUUAAAA